CCUACGGGUGGCAGCAGUCGAGAAUCAUUCACAAUGGGGGAAACCCUGAUGGUGCGACGCCGCGUGGGGGAAUGAAGGUCUUCGGAUUGUAAACCCCUGUCAUGUGGGAGCAAAUUAAAAAGAUAGUACCACAAGAGGAAGAGACGGCUAACUCUGUGCCAGCAGCCGCGGUAAUACAGAGGACUCAAGCGUUGUGUGGAAUCACUGGGCGGAAGGCGUGCGUAGGCGGAUGCGUAAGUCCGGUGGUAAAGGCGCGGGGCAAACCCGCGGACGGCCCAUGAUACUGCGAGACUAGAGUAAUGGAGGGGGAACCGGAAUGCUCGGUGUAGCAGUGAAAUGCGUAGAUAUCGAGAGGAACACUCGUGGCGAAGGCGGGUUCCUGGACAUUAACUGACGCUGAGGCACGAAGGCCAGGGGAGCGAAAGGGAUUAGAUACCCUAGUAGUC
rnacentral:rRNA from 1 species